rnacentral:rRNA from 1 species
CGCACAUAUGCUGGAAUGCUUUAUGCGUAAAAUGGAUUCGUCUGCCCAAGGAUGGGUCUGCGGCCUAUCAGGUAGUAGUGGGUGUAAUGUACCUACUAGCCAACAACGGGUACGGGUUGUGAGAGCAAGAGCCCGGAGAUGGAUUCUGAGACAUGAAUCCAGGCCCUACGGGGCGCAGCAGGCGCGAAAACUUUACAAUGCGGGAAACCGUGAUAAGGGGACACCGAGUGCCAGCGUCAUACGCUGGCUGUCCAGGUGUGUAAAAUACACCUGUUAGCAAGGGCCGGGCAAGACCGGUGCCAGCCGCCGCGGUAACACCGGCGGCCCGAGUGGUGAUCGUGAUUAUUGGGUCUAAAGGGUCCGUAGCCGGUUUGGUCAGUCCUCCGGGAAAUCUGAUAGCUCAACUAUUAGGCUUUCGGGGGAUACUGCCAGGCUUGGAACCGGGAGAGGUAAGAGGUACUACAGGGGUAGGAGUGAAAUCUUGUAAUCCCUGUGGGACCACCUGUGGCGAAGGCGUCUUACCAGAACGGGUUCGACGGUGAGGGACGAAAGCUGGGGGCACGAACCGGAUUAGAUACCCGGGUAGUCCCAGCCGUAAACGAUGCUCGCUAGGUGUCAGGCAUGGCGCGACCGUGUCUGGUGCC